AUACGGGGGGGGCAAGCGUUGUUCGGAAUUACUGGGCGUAAAGGGUUUGUAGGUGGCUUGCUAAGUCAGACGUGAAAUCCCUCAGCUUAACUGGGGAACUGCGUCUGAUACUGGCGAGCUUGAGUGCAGGAGAGGAACGCGGAAUUCCAGGUGUAGCGGUGAAAUGCGUAGAUAUCUGGAGGAACACCGGUGGCGAAGGCGGCGUUCUGGACUGCAACUGACACUGAAAAACGAAAGCCAGGGGAGCAAACGGGA
rnacentral:rRNA from 1 species